UUAAUUAGUUAAUUAAUUAUACGAAAUGUUCGUAUUGGGCUUAUAUGUUGGUUUUGGGUUUCGGGGCUCAAAAGCGUUUUGGUCCACAAGGCCCAUUAUGUUUAAGUUGUAUGACAACUAAAACAAAAUGGGCAAUUAGCCCAAUCAAUUUGAUAUGGCUGGCCAUUAGGGUGAGAAGUGUCAAACUUGGAUUAAUUACAAGUUUGCCACUCACAUGUGAU
rnacentral:lncRNA from 1 species